rnacentral:pre_miRNA from 1 species
UAGAUUUGUCUGAAGUCAAACUUUGCUAAGUUUGACCAAAUUUAUAUUAAAAAAUAUUAACAUCUAUAAUACCUAAUGAAUAUAAUAUGAAAGUAUAUUCCAAGAUGGUUCUAAUGAUAUUGGUGUUGACAUGUGAAUGUUAAUAAUUUUUUGUAUAAACUUGGUCAAACUUUGAAGAGUUUGACUUCAGACAAACCUAA